AGGGCAAUUUUUGAGAACUUGUUUUUCCUGGCUGUUCCAUGAAUAAGCACUUCCAUCUCUUCUCUCCAGUUUUCUCGGAAAUCUUGACUUUAUUGAGAGAAUGAUGAAUGCUGACAAAUAAUAUGAUGCUUUGAGAAGCAAAAAUUUCCUGGAAUUAAAGGAAUUUUCAAGUGUAAAUGGAAUACCACACUAACCCAUACACCAUGCAGCACAUUAUGAAAGCACUUGAGAAGGCAAAUGAAAUGAUGUUCAUUAUACAUAUGAAGCUAUGCAAAACACAUUUCCAUAGUCACCAUGUGAAAGAAGAAAAGAAGAAAAAAAAAGAAGAAAAGAAACCACCAAAGAAAAUACACAUAUUCAAAACCCCCAAGAAAAAGAAAGUGAAAAAAAUGUAUGCUUUAAUUUGCAUUCAGAAUUCAUCAGUCUCUUUCUGGAGAUGGAUAGCAGAGAGAACAAUUUCUUCCAACAGCCAUGAAGGUAA